UCUGUCUCCAGGCAAGUGGCUAAGUACUGAGGGCUUCAUCUAUCUAAAAGGAGUUAUUUCCAUCUGAAUUUGGCAGCACCGGGACACAGCAGCAGAGCGAGUCCACAUCCAGAAGACUGGAGCCGUGUUUCACUGACAGGCUGUCAGACUAACGCCCUGAUGAGCUCAGCAGGGACAAACUGGUCUGAUGUUUAGGUAAGUGAAGAUCUGCUUCUCCAAGUCCUUGAGAUGCUAGUAAAAAAUAAUUUAGCCAGCUUGCUAAUGUUACUUUUCUUCUCCUCUAAGGAACACAGAACGUUCAGAUGUUGGCGUUUCACGUCACCUACUGAGGAAGGAAAACCCACCAGUAAAGAGAUGGUAGCUGGACCAGACCAAAAAUAUGGCGAUGACAUCAUGGAACUGGUGUUUGGAAAAGUUUUCCCUGAACCAACUCCGUUUCUAGAUGAGGUAGAGAAGAUCUGCAUCUCACCAACCCUCUGGUCUCAGUAUUCAGACAACGGAGGUCUCCCACUGUUAUCCAGGACCAGUUUGAAGCCCACAUACUGCCCCUCCCUCAUCAUCAGGAAACAUCAAUCCGUAUCCUGAGGACAACAGAAGACGGCAGAAGGACAGGAACUCUGAGACCUAGACACCACCAGCACCGAGACACAAAGCACCUGUGUGCACAACGCCUGUUUUAACUACUAAAGCCUGUUUAUUAUAUUGUUCUACUUAUUUGCUGUGAGGUUAAUACUUAGAAAAUUUGUAUAUUAAUGUAAACAAUAAAAAAAAUCACUGAUUGUAUGCUUUCUUUUUGAUGUAAUGGUCCAAACUCAGCCUUGUAGACAUUUAUUGCAUCCUGUAGGUAAAUACACAGAACAGGCUCAGGUCCAGGAUGACCCAGCAUGCUCUUCUUCCAUUCUGGCUGUUAGGGAUUGUAUCAAUAACUCAAUGCCUACUGAUGUUUUCACCUAACGGUAUUUAUUUAGAAUGCAGGUAAGAUUUAACUAUAUUUGUUAGCAAAGCAGACUGAUCUUGGGAAUUUCACUGCAGCACUGAUGUCCACCUCUGUACACAUUAGAGAGAAUUACCACUUUACAGCUAAACACAUUUAAUAAAGAUAUAGGCUACGCAUUGCAGACAAUAAAAACAAAGUUGUAAGCAUUAGAAUUAUAAUGAUGACAUUAAAGAACACUUGGAGGAAUGUUCUUUAUUUUUGACUCGAAUCUCAAAUCUUUAAAUUAAAAUGUUACUGCUUUUUAUCCAUUUUCAGCCAUUAAGACACCCAAUAUUAAAUAAGACUACUUAUAAAAUUAUUUAUAAUUAUAUGUAUGUAUAUAUAUAGAUAGAGAUCUUAAUAAAAUGUAUUCUUUUAAUGGUGUUUUAAUGAGCUGUAUCAUUUUUUAAAACAUUUUUUAUAGAAAUAAAUAAGCAAGCAGCA